rnacentral:misc_RNA from 1 species
GGCUUUAGAUCACAAUGAACAAUCGGUUUAUGGCAGUGGUAGUGGAGAUAAUCUAGCGCAUUGGCAACAUCGAUGGCAAUGUCUAUUCUUUGGAGAAGGCUUAGACUGUAAAGAUCAUCAAUUGGCAUAACACCUAUUUUUGAAGUUAGAUGCAGCCACUUCUCUAGGUUCCCAUUUGGCAUGUAUUCAUAAAUAAGUGCCUUAAAUUCAUUUCCCUGAAAAUCAAUACUUGAACAAGAAGUU